ensembl:lncRNA
UUUUUUUCCUUUUCUUUUCCUCAUUGUCCUUCCUGGGAUGCUCAAUCAGCGUUCAGUUUCCAGUAGAUUAUUCUAGGAUAUCCAAAGUUUGUGUCUCUGCUUUGGCAGCACGGACCAUUUUGAGAACUUGUCAUGCAGGAGAAGGGGAAAAAUAAUCUUUUGGUGCCAAGUUUACUUCUCUUCAGCAACGUAGCAGAAAAUACUAUUGAGCACUAAGAGGAAUUUUUGAUAAAUACUCUAUUGAGAGGGUGAUUAAUUUUACUGAACUUAUAGUUUUUUAAUGGCUUUUAGGUAUGGGCAGAACAAGAUCACAUUUGCUUGGAGGCGCACGUAGCCUCAAAUAUUUUCCCAGCUUGAAAGGACCCAGCCUCCCAUUUAUGUAUGUCAGAUAUGCUGCACCCUUUCAGAAGCUGAACCAGGCUGGUACUUCUUUUUUCAUUCUUUGAACCUCAUAGAAAGCUUUUGUCUCCUGCACUGAAGGAAGGAUCUCCAAGCAAGAAAGAAUGGUAUGAGUCAUUUUGUUAUCUCAUUUCCUUUUCAGUCCACUUGAAAAUCCUAUCAGUAGCAAAUACAGCUCGAUGUAGAAUUAACUCUUGUGGUAUCUACUCCAUUACUUCUGUGAAGCAAUUACAGAGAUCUCUGCCAGAAGAAGCAUUUACUGGAGAAUCCAUACUGCCAGUGGCAGAAGGCCAGCAGAGAAGCGUAUUGGAGCAACAGUCCCUGGAGGGUGAUUCCUGCCUCUAUAGAUCUGAUACAGACAUUAUUUUUGUAAACAUCUCCCACUUACAAAGUUAGUAGGCCUCUGCUUAUUUUCCACAGCUGAAGACACAUCUUGCAAGAAGUUUGAAGUUUGUCCUUAUCUUUCUGUGAUAUAAAUUGAUAUCUAUGGGAUUAUAAGUAAGGAUUAAAAAAAAAAAAGAUCAAAGAAGGAAAGCAAAAUUUUCAGUCUUUUCAUAGGUGGAUAGACAUGGUUACCGAUGAGAUCUUUGGGGAUGGGAAUUAAUGUUAGGGUGAAUGACAGAGAGAAGGAUGAUAUUUUAAACUGUUUUGGAGUUAGCAAUGUUUAGUUAAAAGUGGAACAUUCGGUGGCAAGAUUCAUAUUGGUAAUUUUUUGCAUUUGAACAGCUUUAAAGGGGAGUUAAGGCAGUAGACAUGGGGCACAUUAUUUAUUGUAAUAUAAUCACCAUCCCUGAUAAUUAAUUACUGUGAAAUUAAUACGUUUAUUAAGCAAGUGUGACAGUGACAAUAGUUUUGUAUUUCACAAGCAGUAUUUCUCGGGCAGAAUUUGCUCCAGUAUUUCUAACUUACAAGAUUUUUAUAUUAUAUAUAUAGAGAGAGAGCUACAGGGAACAUAGGGAAAAUUAGGUAUAAUAGUAAAAUUAAUCAGUAGCUUAAAGAAAAGGUAAUCAAUGCUUAACAGGCAUGUCUUAAAAAGCAAAUAAAAAUUAAUUAACAAUUUACAGCAUAAGUCUGUCUUCAGGGUUAUGAUGGAAGUGCUACAAUAUGGAUUUGGAAGAAGCUGUUAAAAAUCAGCUCUUUUUCUGAAACUGCUUUGCUCUGUGCUAUUACCAAUCCCUCUGCUGGGCAGAGCUUUGCUCAAGCACAUCUUUCUUCCCACCCUCUCCUGCUCAGACCUCUGCCUGAGUGCAGGGAUGGGGGGAAGAAGCUGAUGGAUGGCCCCUGUCACUCCCCAACUGUACAGGUCAACCUGGCAUUCAACCCUGGAACAAGUGCUCACUUGGAGCACACACUUCUUUUUUUUUUUUUAACUAUAGUUCUGUCAAUUUCAAUUCCUCACCACCAGGACUCCCCUAGCGGUCUUCCUUUGCAGAGCUGCUUUCCAGAUAGGUGGCAUGUCUUGGAGCUUGAGGCUGUUUCUUCCCAGGUGCAGGACUGUACAUUUCUUCUUACUGAAUUUCAUGAGGUUCCUCCCAGCCUGUUUCUCCAGCCUCUUGAAGUCCCUCUGGAUGGCAGCACGACCAUCUGUUCUAUCAGCCACUUCUUCCAGUUUUGUGGCAUCUGCAAACUUGCUGAGAGUAUACUCUGCUCCAUAAUCCAGAUCAUUAAUGAAAAUACUCAACAGGACUGGACCCUGCAUUGACCCCUGCAGUCCUCUGCUCAUUACUGGCCUCCACCUAGAAUUUACACCACUGACCAUUGCACCUAUGUGAACACUUAUGUUUACCAAGAUCUUUCAGAUCAGCAUUUAAAUCACCACUACACAAAACAUUUUGUACAUGCUUUCCACAUGAAAUUGUAGCCCAAUUAUCUAAGAAAGUACCUGCAAUACUCAAAAAGAUGUUCAGAACCUGUCAGAAAGUGCAUUUCAAAGGAAAAAAAAAACAAAAAACAACUGUUUUUUUUUUGUUGUUGUUGUUCAUUUACUUCCUGGCCCUCGCAGCAGCACCUCAGGAAAAGCAAAGACAGAAACUGUAGGGGGAAGGUUCGGCUUUACUCCGUUUUAGUUCAGAGAUUCAGUCCUUUUGUUUUCCUCCUACAUGAGAAUAUUCAUGAAAUAUGCCUUGUGCAGGAAAGACAUCACGGGACAUUAACAGAUAUGGCUUGAAUUUAGAACUUCACCUUGCUUCGAUAGAAAAGAAUGAAUCUUCCUGGUGGCCAUUUUGACACAAUCUUUAUUUGAAUCAAAAGUCAGAGGAGUGGAAAUGUCUUUUACACACAGUAUAUGAGCAUGUUAGAAGUCAGUAUUUAACAAAUUAAGCUAUAUCUAAUACCUGAGAUGCUGCUGUAUGUUUUCAGAAUGUAAAAUAGCUGCUCUUUUCUCAUGCUAAUGUAUGUAAAGAAUUGCACUUUAAGUGAAUUUAGGAAGAAAAGUUGGGUUUUGGCUUAUUAAAAGCAAGAAAUUGUUCUCUGAUGAUAAGCUCACAUGGAACCUACUGUAUGGAAGAGUCAAGCUGUGUCAGAACUACUAACAGCCUAGAAAGUUUUCCCAGCUUCACAUGAGAAUGAACUUUACUAUUUAAAGUAGAUUUAUAUAUAUGAGGUCAGUAACGAAUACAUGUAAGAGUGGGAACCAAAGAUAAAGACACUAUCCUUUGAUUAAACUGACUACAUCAAAAAUGUCAGAUAAAGCAUGGCUGUGGGUGCUUGGGUUCUGACAGGUAGAAGUACUUCCACAGCUAAGUUAUAUUGAUUCAAAAUAAAAAAAAAGGAGCCUGUGGCACUGGGACAUGUCAGAGCCAUGAGGCAGGUCAGUAGUUCUGUGCAGUGAAUGAACAGACACUUUGGUAUCAGUUAGUGGGAGCAGCAGAUAUCCAUCAUCCCUGGAAGCGAGAAGUCCUUCUCUUUGCCAGUUCUCUCUCUCUCUGCUUCCCUGAUACUUACCUUACAGCAUCAUUAUCACUUGCCAGAUCCCUGUGUAAACUACCACGUCACUAGAGCAGCAGAAAACAAAUCCAUCAAGAACUGGAAAGCUGAUUUUCAGGCACAGUAAGUGCUAGGAGUUGCUUGCCUACCUGUAGAAUCAUACCCUGAGGCAGAAGUCAGAACAGACUGAUGCAGAUUUUAUUGUAGCUUAAUGAUAGGAAAGCCAAAUCCAGAGUUGUAAGGACCCAGGUAUGAUGAUGAGCUUGAGACCCAGUGAUAGACAACGCAAAGCGUCAAGCCUGGGAAAUAAGAUAAGGACAGUCAAUGUGACUUACCUGAAACCACCACUGAAAAGGAACAAGUGCAAAGAUAUCCCUGACAUCAGAAAGAAGGUUUACAGAGUAACAAUUUUAGACUGUGGGUGGAGAGAAGGGGAUUAAAAUUGAAACACGAAACAGGAGAAAGACUUAAGAAAUCGCCCACAGCUGUAUUAGGAAUACAUCCUCUCUAUGCAAGGAUAAGAUGCAAAAGCUGUUUGGCGGGUUUUUGGUAAGCCUCCUCAGGGCAGCUGUCCUGAUCAAUCCACGUACAACAGCUGUGUGGGCAGUCACCAGCUUACAAAACAUUUGUCUAAGACAGGCCUUGUGUCUUAAAAUACCAUUCUUCCUAUUUUAAUUUGCUUCCCUCGUCCUUGCAUUUAG